rnacentral:rRNA from 1 species
GGCGCAUAAGUAACAGGUCGUAGACCCGAAACCAGGUGAUCUACCCAUGUCCAGGAUGAAGGUAAGGUAAUACUUACUGGAGGUCCGAACCCACGCACGUUGAAAAGUGCGGGGAUGAGGUGUGGGUAGCGGAGAAAUUCCAAUCGAACUUGGAGAUAGCUGGUUCUCUCCGAAAUAGCUUUAGGGCUAGCCUCGAGGUAAAGAGUCAUGGAGGUAGAGCACUGUUUGGACUAGGGGCCCUUCUCGGGUUACCGAAUUCAGAUAAACUCCGAAUGCCAUGUACUUAUACUCGGGAGUCAGACUGCGAGUGAUAAGAUCCGUAGUCGAAAGGGAAACAGCCCAGACCACCAGUUAAGGUCCCCAAAUAUAUGUUAAGUGGAAAAGGAUGUGGGGUUGCUUAGACAACCAGGAUGUUGGCUUAGAAGCAGCCACCAUUGAAAGAGUGCGUAAUAGCUCACUGGUCGAGUGACCCCGCGCCGAAAAUGUACCGGGGCUAAACAUAUUACCGAAACUGUGGAUGAACCUCUUUAGAGGUUCGUGGUAGGAGAGCGUUCUAAGGGCGGUGAAGUCAGACCGGAAGGACUGGUGGAGCGCUUAGAAGUGAGAAUGCCGGUAUGAGUAGCGAAAGAAGGGUGAGAAUCCCUUCCACCGAAUAUCUAAGGUUUCCUGAGGAAGGCUCGUCCGCUCAGGGUUAGUCGGGACCUAAGCCGAGGCCGAUAGGCGUAGGCGAUGGACAACAGGUAGAGAUUCCUGUACCAGUGCUAAUUGUUUAACCGAUGGGGUGACACAGAAGGAUAGGGAAUCGCACGAAUGGAAAUGUGCGUCCAAGCAGUGAGUGUGAGAAGUAGGCAAAUCCGCUUCUCGCGAAGCAUGAGCUGUGAUGGGGAAGGAAAUUAAGUACGGAAGUUCCUGAUUUCACGCUGUCAAGAAAAGCCUCUAGGAAGAGUAGUACUGCCCGUACCGCAAACCGACACAGGUAGAUGAGGAGAGAAUCCUAAGGUGAGCGAGAGAACUCUCGUUAAGGAACUCGGCAAAAUGACCCCGUAACUUCGGGAGAAGGGGUGCUCUAUUAGGGUGCAAGCCCGAGAGAGCCGCAGUGAAUAGGCCCAGGCGACUGUUUAGCAAAAACACAGGUCUCUGCAAAACCGUAAGGUGACGUAUAGGGGCUGACGCCUGCCCGGUGCUGGAAGGUUAAGAGGAGUGCUUAGCUUCGGCGAAGGUACGAAUUGAAGCCCCAGUAAACGGCGGCCGUAACUAUAACGGUCCUAAGGUAGCGAAAUUCCUUGUCGGGUAAGUUCCGACCCGCACGAAAGGCGCAACGAUCUGGGCACUGUCUCAACGAGAGACUCGGUGAAAUUAUAGUACCUGUGAAGAUGCAGGUUACCCGCGACAGGACGGAAAGACCCCGUGGAGCUUUACUGCAACCUGAUAUGGAAUGUUUGUACCGCUUGUACAGGAUAGGUAGGAGCCGAAGAGACGUGUGCGCUAGCAUACGAGGAGGCAAUGGUGGGAUACUACCCUGGCUGUAUGACCAUUCUAACCCGCCACGCUUAGCGCGUGGGGAGACAGUGUCAGGUGGGCAGUUUGACUGGGGCGGUCGCCUCCUAAAGAGUAACGGAGGCGCCCAAAGGUUCCCUCAGAAUGGAUGGAAAUCAUUCGCAGAGUGUAAAGGCACAAGGGAGCUUGACUGCGAGACUGACAAGUCGAGCAGGGACGAAAGUCGGGCUUAGUGAUCCGGUGGUUCCGCAUGGAAGGGCCAUCGCUCAACGGAUAAAAGCUACCCCGGGGAUAACAGGCUUAUCUCCCCCAAGAGUCCACAUCGACGGGGAGGUUUGGCACCUCGAUGUCGGCUCGUCGCAUCCUGGGGCUGUAGUCGGUCCCAAGGGUUGGGCUGUUCGCCCAUUAAAGCGGCACGCGAGCUGGGUUCAGAACGUCGUGAGACAGUUCGGUCCCUAUCCGUCGCGGGCGCAGGAAAUUUGAGAGGAGCUGUCCUUAGUACGAGAGGACCGGGAUGGACACACCGCUGGUGUACCAGUUGUUCCGCCAGGAGCAUCGCUGGGUAGCUAUGUGUGGCAGGGAUAAACGCUGAAAGCAUCUAAGCGUGAAGCCCCCCUCAAGAUGAGAUUUCCCAUUUCUUCGGAAAGUAAGAUCCCUGAAAGAUGAUCAGGUAGAUAGGUUUGGAGUGGAAGUGUAGCGAUACAUGGAGCGGACAAAUACUAAUCGAUCGAGGACUUAACCAAAA